GAGACGCUGGCGGCGUGCCUACACAUGCAAGUCGAGCGGAGAUAAGAAAGAGUACUUGUACGAAUUUUUAUUUCAGCGGCGGACGGGUGAGUAACACGUGAGUAACCUGCCUUUCACUGGGGAAUAACAUCGAGAAAUCGGUGCUAAUACCGCAUAACGUCACGAGACCGCAUGGUAUUGUGACCAAAGGAGUAAUCCGGUGAAAGAUGGACUCGCGUCCGAUUAGAUAGUUGGUGAGGUAAUGGCUCACCAAGUCUGCGAUCGGUAGCCGAACUGAGAGGUUGAUCGGCCACAUUGGGACUGAGACACGGCCCAGACUCCUACGGGAGGCAGCAGUGGGGAAUAUUGGGCAAUGGGCGAAAGCCUGACCCAGCAACGCCGCGUGAAGGAAGAAGGUCUUCGGAUUGUAAACUUCUUUGAUCAGGGACGAAGAAAUGACGGUACCUGAAGAACAAGCCACGGCUAACUACGUGCCAGCAGCCGCGGUAAUACGUAGGUGGCAAGCGUUAUCCGGAUUUACUGGGUGUAAAGGGCGUGUAG
rnacentral:rRNA from 1 species